rnacentral:rRNA from 1 species
AUUGAACGCUGGCGGCAGGCCUAACACAUGCAAGUCGAGCGAGCGACGGACGGGUGAGGAAUGUCUGGGAAACAGCUUGAUGGCGAGGGAUAACUACUGGAAACGGUAGUUAAUACUGCAUACCAUCAGAUAUGGCCAGCUGGGAUUAGCUAGUGGGUGGGGCAACGGCUCACCAAGGCGACGAUCCCUAGCUGGUCUGGGAGGUUGACCAGCCACACUGGAACUGAGACACGGUCCAGACUCCUACGGGAGGCAGCAGUGGGGAAUAUUGGACAAUGGGCGAAAGCCUGAUGCAGCCAUGCCGCGUGUAUGAAGAAGGCCUUCGGGUUGGAAAGUACUUGCAGCGGGGAGGCGUUACCCACAGAAGAAGCACCGGCUAACUCCGUGCCAGCAGCCGCGGUAAUUC